UCUAUCUCUCUCUCUCUCUGGCGACUCAAGCACAUGCCAACGAUUAGGGUUUUGGUAAGAACCGCCAGAAGACUCAUAAUCUUAAUCGGCUUGAAGCGCAGCGUAACGAGCUCAAUUCUCGAGUUGUAGUUCUCAAUGCUGGUGAUAACAACGAGCAUUUCCAGUAACUCAUCGUAAUUACCUUCCUGUUGCUGGAGGUGUUAGCAGCCACACAUGCUAUUGCAGUGUAUCAGCCCCCGAACUUACUGUUUCAGAGAGUUCCUCCACCUCUAUAAAGUAAUUAUUUUGUAAUCUCAGAAGAGAAUUGUGUCGGGUGUCCAACCAACAGGAUCUAUACACCCUGGGAAUUAUCUUGGAGCGAUAAUAAAUUGGAUAUCACUGCAGUGAAAUUUUGAUGGGAGUCAAUCCAUGGUGGCCGGAGAACUCACCCAGGGUACGUUCAUGGUGGAGGGCUAGGUUAGUCGGUAGUCAAAUGGCCAAAAGUACUCUAGACUUUGCAUACAGAACUGCUUCGAUUUCAGUUUUCAACUGGUAUCUGGCCAAAAGUUAAAAAAGCCAUAUAUGUGGUUGAGGACAAGAAAAUUUUAGAUUAAUUUAGUGUAACUGAUUGCUUUAU